rnacentral:lncRNA from 1 species
AGUAACAGAACUUUUGGGUCUACCUAAUGUUUCGGAUUUCUUCCCGGCGUUGGCCCCGCUUGAUUUGCAAGGUGCAGUGAAACGUGUCCGAAAAUCAACGGAGAAGUUGGACGCAAUUAUUGAUAAGAUAAUCAAUCAAAGGUUGGAGGAGAAGCAAAGUGGGCACACAGUAGAGGAAUUCAAGGACUUUCUACAAUUCCUAUUAAAGUUGAAAGAUGAGGAUGAUUCCAAGACCCCAAUGACCAUGAUUCAUAUCAAAGCCUUGCUCCUGGUGAGUCUUCUUUGAUUCUUUUUAAUUAUUAUUUGUAAUGAUAUUAUUAUUAAUAUUUUACAGAAUUGAUUUUGGUACCACUAUGAGCAAAGCUCCUUUGGGUGCCCUUAUCCAACAAAAGGAUAAAUUAGGAAACCACUUUUGGUAUUGAGCCCACAGACAGUUACAAAGUGACUUCUUAAAACAGUUCAUAGAAAGAAACGUUUUAUUUAGAUGAAAAAGUAUUUAAUAGGUAGGCCUACAUGACUGAUCCACCAGACUAUUCAUCGUGGUCUCUUUGCCAAAAAACCAAAAAACUAGAAAAAUCUCUUUGGCAUUAUUAUUGGUUCUCAAAUGGAUUCCCCGUGGUCCAGGGAUCGGUAAUUAUUAUCCUUGUCUUGUGUUCCAUCAUGGCCUCAUUGUAUUAUAAAAACAAUGAUGAAAUUGCAUUCCAAAUUUGCCUUGGUAACAUUGAUUAUAUUAUAUUUAUAUUGAAACAGGAUAUGGUGGUGGGAGGAUCAGACACAUCAUCCAACUCAAUUGAGUUUACAAUGGCUGAAAUCAUCAACAAACCAGAAGUAAUGAGAAAAGCACAGCAAGAACUUGAUGAAGUAGUGGGCAAAGAUAGCUUCGUGGAAGAAUCCCAC